GACGAACGCUGGCGGCGUGCUUAACACAUGCAAGUGGAGCGACGAACCAGGGCUUGCCCUGGGGCAGAGCCGCGAACGGGUGAGUAACACGUGGGUAACCUGCCCAGAUGACCGGGACAACCCGAGGAAACUCGGGCUAAUACCGGAUGUGUUCAUUCCACAUCAGUGGGAUGAGGAAAGGAAGCUUCGGCCUCCGCAUCUGGAUGGGCCCGCGGCCCAUUAGCUAGUUGGUGAGGUAAUGGCUCACCAAGGCUUCGAUGGGUAGCUGUUCUGAGAGGAAGAUCAGCCACACUGGGACUGAGACACGGCCCAGACGCCUACGGGAGGCAGCAGUGGGGAAUCUUGCGCAAUGCGCGAAAGCGUGACGCAGCAACGCCGCGUGCGGGAAGACGGCCUUCGGGUUGUAAACCGCUUUCAGUUGGGACGAAGCUUCGCCGGUGAAUAGCCGGCCGGAGUGACGGUACCUUCAGAAGAAGCCCCGGCUAACUACGUGCCAGCAGCCGCCGUAAUAC
rnacentral:rRNA from 1 species